UACGGGGGGGGCAAGCGUUGUUCGGAAUUACUGGGCGUAAAGGGCUCGUAGGUGGCCAACUAAGUCAGACGUGAAAUCCCCGGGCUCAACCCGGGAACUGCGUCCGAUACUGGCAGGCUUGAAUCCGGGAGAGGGAUGUGGAAUUCCAGGUGUAGCGGUGAAAUGCGUAGAUAUCUGGAGGAACACCGGUGGCGAAGGCGGCAUCCUGGACCGGCAUUGACGCUGAGGCGCGAAAGCCAGGGGAGCAAACGGG
rnacentral:rRNA from 1 species